GACUUCGUGGCGUAAUUGGUAGCGCGUGAGAUUCCAAUUAAUCAAAAACCGGUUAUCUCAAGGCUGAGAGUUCGAGUCUCUUCGAGGUCA